rnacentral:rRNA from 1 species
UGUAAGCGUAUACCAAAGUUGUUGCAGUUAAAACGCUCGUAGUCGGAAUUUGGCAGUUCCGGAAGUGUGCACGUCGUGUGCGCACUUUGCGGGGACUGCUUUUGUGGUCUUGCGUAGGAUGAGGCACGUUCAUUAGUGAACGUCCUCACGCAACCACUCUUUACUGUGAGAAAAUCAGAGUGCUCAAAGCAGGCAUUUGCCGUGAAUGUAUUAGCAUGGAAUAAUAGAAUAGGACUCGGUUCUAUUUUGUUGGUUUGUUGGGACUGAGUAAUGAUUAAGAGGGACAGUUGGGGGCAUUUGUAUUCCGGCGCUAGAGGUGAAAUUCUUAGAUUGCCGGAAGACAAACUGCUGCGAAAGCGUCUGCCAAGGAUGUUUUCAUUGA